UAAAACCAGCUCUUGGAGUGGUGAUCAUGAUUAUUUGGCUUAGAGUGUGCGUAGCAGGACAGCGUAAGUCCCCUGUGAAAUGCUAGGUCUUAAGCUUAGCACGUGCAGGGGAUACUGCGCGUCUUGGGACCGGGAUAGGUGUAAUGUACGCGACGGGUAGGGGUGAAAUCCGAUAAUCCAUCGCGGACAACCGGUGGCGAAGGCGUUACACUGGAACGGGUCCGACUGUGAGGCACGAAAGCUAGGGUCGCGAGCCGGAUUAGAUACCCGGGUAGUCCUAGCUGUAAACGAUGCUCAUUAAGUGUUAGGUAACGCAAGACGUUACCUAGUGCCGAAGCGAAAGCGUUAAAUGAGCCGCCUGGGAAGUGCGCUCGCAAGAAUG
rnacentral:rRNA from 1 species